GUGCAUCAGCAGCACAUACACUAAAAUUGGAAUGACACAGACAUGAAUGGUGGAGCGUGGAUAACAUAAUGGUUAUGCAAACAGACUCUUAUGCCUGAGGCUCCAAAGGCCCAAAUUCAGUCCCCCAUAACACCAGAAGCUAAAGCUUAACAUUGCUCCAGGUUAAAACACACACACACACACACACACAGAAGAUUAGCAUGGCUCCUUGUACAAGGAUGACCCCAAAUUCUUGAAGCAUUCCAUAUUUUU
rnacentral:snRNA from 1 species